rnacentral:snoRNA from 1 species
AUGCACAUUUCACUCUCUGCUUUUUUUCAUAUCAAGAAAAAGGGUAUUUCUGAUGUGCUAGAGGAAUCCCUGUAGGUAAAUUAGCAGUGUGGCUGAUCUAGCCAUCACUGUCUGUCACCUCUACAUAGUG